CCCACAAUAGAUAAGAGAACUGGAAAUCAAAAAGAUCAGUAUCAGACCGUGAAUAUCAUAUUGCAGAGCUUUUGUGGCCAAAAAAUGAGCCGGUUGAUUAGCUUCCCAACAAACAUGAGAUAUUUGAAAGUGAAUUAAUCUGUUUUCCAUUCAUGAAUAUCUCUUGCACUCGUUACCUUUUGAGAAGUCGCUACUGCAACUUGAUCCUUUUAUAGUUUUCCUCUUCCCCUAACUUACGA
rnacentral:lncRNA from 1 species